rnacentral:lncRNA from 1 species
GUCUACAGAGUGAGUUCCAGGACAGCCAGGGCUAUACAGAGAAACCCUGUCUCGAAAAACAAAACAAAACAAAAGAACACCAAUGAGCAACAGAUUUGACAGAGGUGAUCAGUGUCUGUGACUAGCUAUUGUGACUAGCAAGAGACCUAGAGCAAAUCUUAUAAGUAAGGAAUCUUUUAAGUAAGGAACACUUAGGUAUGAUGAUAAUCUAGACAGGUUAUUCAAAAUCUCCAUCCAUUUUUUUUUUUUGCUCAUGUCAACUAGUGUUAAAGUAUGAUAAAAGUUUUGGUUACUUGAAAUCAUUAUUUCUCAAUUCUAUUUGAUAAUAGUAACUUCCAGGAGGAGGAAUGGGAAUUGUUCAGAAAUACACAUUGAUGGAUCCAGUCUAAAGGUGCACAGAUUCAGUUUUCAAGGGAAACUGAAAUAGGGUGUAUUGUUAUCUAAACUAAUCAGUUCUGAAAGUGCUGAUAGGGCGAUUUUAUCAUAUUUGGCAGGGAGCAAGAACAGCUUUCAUAGGCUCAUUUAUAGGACUCAAAAUGGAAACUUUUAUUUUUAUAAAACUGAGAUUGAAAAUGGCCACUUGUAAAAAUUCCUUCCAUGGUUGUUACCAAAAGUGUAUUUUCCUGUUUAAAGUGGUUUUGGAAACUUUCAGGCCAACUUAUAACUAUCAUGUUGAAUUGUAAAUGUGUAGAAAUAAUGCUUUUUUAUUUUGAAUUAAUAAUAUUGAGUACCUACACUGUGCCUAGCCUACCAUCAGCAUUUCAACAUUUCUUUUAUUAUAAGAGCAUCAUGUUCUACAGAGUCAAUAUGAUCUCAUAAGGUGCAAAUAAAAACUGCUGGCAGGGCAGGUAUAAUAAUUUCUAUCAUAGUUUACAAAUGGUCUUUGCAAAUAGUGAUCAGAGGCAUUAACGUUUCCCUGAGCUAAGCUAAAUUAAAUGCAUUCUUUUCUGCCUUGAUUAUAUUACUAAUUUUCUUUACCCACAUUUGAAAUAAUCUCAAUACUUGCUAUUUCAAAACUAAAAUGCAAUGUUAUAGGGGGUAUACAUUGAGUUUUUAAUCGUAUCAAUAAUGGUGUGUAAAAACUCAAGAAUAUUAUAUAAAGGAGACAUUAAUUUAAGAUUUUCCCACCAAAUUUAGUAUGUUAACCAAAACCUAAAACUUUAUAUCCAUUUAGAUGGGAACUUUUUACAAGUACUUUUAUGUUGUUUCUGCAAGUCUAGACUUCAAUAGUAAUCAUGAUAUACUAACUAUAUUUUAUUUCUGAAUAGUUUUUUAAAUUCAUGAAAAAUUAAUAGCCAUGAAAACUGAUUUUAUUGUCAUAUUUGUUUAAGCAUCUUAUUAGUUUACUUCUCUUGCAUUAAUAGUACUGCUAUAUUUUGGGUCUGUAUAUUUAUAUGUGGCAUUUAUAAAAUUAUCUAGUGUUUUAAAAAUACUUUGAAAUAAAUAUUAAAAUUAAAAUGGUUCAAUGCUACUUUUUUGAAGAGUACUCUAUAUUUACUCAUACUUGUACCAAAAUUUGAUAAAAUUUUUAUUUUCUUUUGGGUGUUUUGUUAUACAACUUUUAAUUUUAAAAACAAAAUAAAGUGGUCUAAUCUCUGUUUUAUACUAAUGAGAAAUGAACUGUUAAACUGCGUGUGUAUGUAUUUGAUGUAUAUAUGUGCAUGUGUAUAUACACAAGGUACUCUAAAGAAAUGAAAAGGAAGAAACAUAUUUUGAUAUAAGGAAUUUACAUCAUGUUUUCUUUGCUAAAAUAAGUCACAUUUUGUUAUGGGUGAAUAUUUGCUAAGAUUAGGCAUCUUUCCUUCCAUAUUUUAAAAAUAUGCUGGGUAUAGCAUAUACAAUUGUAAUUCUAGUACUCAGGAAUUCAAGGCCAGCCUAGGUUAUAUAUUGAAUUCCAGGCCAGUCUGGGCUAUAUAGCAAGAGCCUGCCUCAAAAAAUAAAGAAGUGUGAUAAAUUUUCAUUCAGGCUUAUAAAAGUAGAUGGUAUUUUUUAUUGUCAAGUUUACCAGUCUUUGUCCUCCUUUCCUAUCUCACAAAACAAAUACUGAAAGUGCAAAUUGGUUUGUUUGUAAAAAGAUAACAUUAUGUUUAUUUCUACUUAUAAAGGUUCAACAAGUACAUUAAGAACAUUUGGAGCAUUGAGAACAAGCAGAAAUGAUAACACAAUAAUAAAAUUGCUUCCUGUUGG